rnacentral:rRNA from 1 species
AUUGAACGCUGGCGGCAUGCCUUACACAUGCAAGUCGAACGGUAACAGGUCUUCGGAUGCUGACGAGUGGCGAACGGGUGAGUAAUACAUCGGAACGUGCCUAGUAGUGGGGGAUAACUACUCGAAAGAGUGGCUAAUACCGCAUGAGAUCUACGGAUGAAAGCAGGGGACCGCAAGACCUUGUGCUACUAGAGCGGCCGAUGGCAGAUCAGGUAGUUGGUGGGAUAAAAGCUUACCAAGCCGACGAUCUGUAGCUGGUCUGAGAGGACGAUCAGCCACGCUGGAACUGAGACACGGCCCAGACUACUACGGGAGUCAGCAGUGGGGAAUUUUGGACAAUGGGCGCAAGCCUGAUCCAGCAAUGCCGCGUGCAGGAUGAAGGCCUUCGGGUUGUAAACUGCUUUUGUACGGAACGAAAAGCCCUGGGUUAAUACCCUGGGGUCAUGACGGUACCGUAAGGAUAAGCACCGGCUAACUACGUGCCAGCCGCCGCCGUAA